rnacentral:rRNA from 1 species
CGUACUGAGACACGGACCAGACUCCUACGGGAGGCAGCAGUGGGGAAUUUUGGACAAUGGGGGCAACCCUGAUCCAGCAAUGCCGCGUGAGUGAAGAAGGCCUUCGGGUUGUAAAGCUCUUUUGUCAGGGAAGAAACAGCAGCUCUAACACAGUCUGCGAAUGACGGUACCUGAAGAAUAAGCACCGGCUAACUACGUGCCAGCAGCCGCGGUAAUACGUAGGGUGCAAGCGUUAAUCGGAAUUACUGGGCGUAAAGCGUGCGCAGGCGGUUAUACAAGACAGGCGUGAAAUCCCCGGGCUUAACCUGGGAAUGGCGUCUGUGACUGUAUGACUAGAGUGUGUCAGAGGGGGGUAGAAUUCCACGUGUAGCAGUGAAAUGCGUAGAUAUGUGGAGGAAUACCAAUGGCGAAGGCAGCCCCCUGGGAUAACACUGACGCUCAUGCACGAAAGCGUGGGGAGCAAACAGGAUUAGAUACCCUGGUAGUCCACGCCCUAAACGAUGUCAACUAGCUGUUGGGGCCUUCGGGCCUUGGUAGCGCAGCUAACGCGUGAAGUUGACCGCCUGGGGAGUACGGUCGCAAGAUUAAAACUCAAAGGAAUUGACGG